rnacentral:rRNA from 1 species
UACGUAGGGAGCGAGCGUUGUCCGAAGUUACUGGGCGUAAAGCGCGCGUAGGCGGGCUAUUAAGUGAGAGGUGAAAGGCUGGGGCUCAACCUCAUGCAGUGCCUCUCAUACUGGUAGUCUUGAGGGCGGUAGAGAGAAGUGGAAUGGCUGGUGUAGCGGUGAAAUGCGUAGAUAUCCGGAAGAACACCGAUGGCGAAGGCAACCACCUGGGCCUGCACUGACGCUGAGGUACGAAAGCGUGGGGAGCAAACAGG